rnacentral:rRNA from 1 species
UACAGGGGGGGCAAGCGUUGUUCGGAAUUACUGGGCGUAAAGGGUCUGUAGGUGGCCAACUAAGUCAGACGUGAAAUCCCCCGGCUUAACCUGGGAACUGCGUCUGAUACUGGACGGCUAGAGUAUGGGAGAGGAACGUAGAAUUCCAGGUGUAGCGGUGAAAUGCGUAGAGAUCGGGAGGAACAUCAGUGGCGAAGGCGGCCAUCUGGGACAACACUGACGCUGAAGCACGAAAGCGUGGGGGAGCAAACAGG